rnacentral:rRNA from 1 species
GACGAACGCUGGCGGCGUGCUUAACACAUGCAAGUCGAACGGAAAGGCCCUGCUUUUGGGGGGUGCUCGAGUGGCGAACGGGUGAGUAACACGUGAGUAACCUGCCCUUGACUUUGGGAUAACUUCAGGAAACUGGGGCUAAUACCGGAUAGGAGCUCCUGCUACAUGGUGGGGGUUGGAAAGUUUCGGCGGUUGGGGAUGGACUCGCGGCUUAUCAGCUUGUUGGUGGGGUAGUGGCUUACCAAGGCUUUGACGGGUAGCCGGCCUGAGAGGGUGACCGGCCACAUUGGGACUGAGAUACGGCCCAGACUCCUACGGGAGGCAGCAGUGGGGAAUAUUGCACAAUGGGCGGAAGCCUGAUGCAGCAACGCCGCGUGCGGGAUGACGGCCUUCGGGUUGUAAACCGCUUUCGCCUGUGACGAAGCGUGAGUGACGGUAAUGGGUAAAGAAGCACCGGCUAACUACGUG